rnacentral:lncRNA from 1 species
AUCAUAUUUCAUCUUUCAUCAACCAAUUUCAUCUCUAGUUGAUAAAACAGACUAGAAGAUGUUAAAGAACACCAGAUAGUGCUUUAUUCAUUCUGGAAACUCAAUGCCAACUGGAACAUCAGCUUCCAUUUAUCCUCCAGAAGCCACAGUUCUGGCAAACUGUAUGAUGCCCUAGAAAGCCUCUCUCUCAUGAAAGCAUGGAGAUUUCUUUAGCUGCAAGAAAGCUGCCCAUGUGAACUGAAGAAUGAAAGUCUGACAACAAAAAACUGGGACAAUCCUUCCAGAGCUGUGUGUUCAAUGUCACCAUCUAGACAUCAUUUCCGAGGCAGUGCAAUCAACAGGGAAUAAUGCUGUGUGUUCUUCUCAUUAUACAUGCUUGUAAUUGAAAUGUGCCUACUGCCACCACAGCUAGUUAGAAGUAAUAAAAAGUACCUCUG